rnacentral:sRNA from 1 species
GGUUGGUCAGAGGGCAGUGGUGUUUACAAAUAAUUGAUCACAACCAGUUACAGAUUUCUUUGCCGGGCACCAGUAGCUCACUCCUGUAAUCCUAGCUACUC